AAGACUAUACUUUCAGGGAUCAUAUCUAUAGUAUGUUACUAGAUUUCUUUGCUACUCUGUCAACAAAAGACUGCAAAAGCCCUAGAAGCAUUGACUGGAAAUGAAGGGU
rnacentral:snoRNA from 1 species